GGGAAUCUUAAUAACCACUACGUCCAGUAGCCGCUCCUCGCGAAGAACGCUUACCAAAUCAUCAAUAUCGAAGACGCCAGUUUCACCGCGUGAGGAGUGUUGCGCAAACUCUAGAUUAUUGAACCUGUCUAGAUAUGCUGCCAGAAGUGCAUUAUGUCCCUUCAGCCUUCACUGGAUUUUACUAGAGUUCGUUGAGAUAACCUCGUGUUUCGUGAUCUGGCUCCCCAAGCUUUUCAAGAAGCUUUCGCUCCUCAUCCGUCAUCGGUACCUUU